UACAGGAAUCAAAACCACCGCUGGAACAAGGAGGGACUAACAGGCUGAUCCCCAGGGUGGCUGUGAGGAGGGCUGGAAUUAGGGCUGAUGGGGGAAGACAGCUCUUGCUGAACAGGUUGGUGAGACCAAUCCUUUCAGGAAGUGAAAAAGGGACCUGAAAGUCUCAGUCCUCACCUCCUUUCCUGGUAAGAGAAGUUGUGGCCUGCAAAUGCAGCUGUGGAGGUCCGUGGAAUUUGCAGGGCCUGUCUUUCUGAGCCUUUUCUCCUGUGAGGAUUUUGAGCAGCUGGACUGUUUGAG